GCGAGCGGGAAAGAGAAGUCCGAGCCGGGCUGCGUCGGAGUGUAUUGUCGCGCACACUGUGAAAGAACCCUGUUCGUGAGCAAGUACCGAAAGCCGAAGGGUGGGCAGUACGUCUCUCGUGGAGAUCGAGUGGCCGUUUCAGGGAUCGGCCCGAAGAAUUAUGUUCCAGAGUCGUCGACGACAAGCUAGUGUGCCUCGGAGCCCCCAAGAUGUGCCUACAGGUUACGACGGCCCUGAGUAUGUCGACUAAAGCAAGUUUCAGCUUCAGUCCUGACGACCAACGUUCAUUCCAAGAUAUUUGCGGUCGUCGGAUGGAAGGCACCCCGAAAUAAUAUUGAAAUUUCCCGAAAGGCC